rnacentral:rRNA from 1 species
CAGUAGCCGCGGGAAUACGAAGGGGGCUAGCGUUGUUCGGAAUCACUGGGCGUAAAGGGUGCGCAGGCUGGUUCUUAAGUCAGGGGUGAAAUCCCGAGGCUCAACCUCGGAACGGCCUUUGAUACUGGGGAUCUUGAGUCCGGAAGAGGUGAGUGGAACUGCGAGUGUAGAGGUGAAAUUCGUAGAUAUUCGCAAGAACACCGGUGGCGAAGGCGGCUCACUGGUCCGGAACUGACGCUGAGGCACGACAGCGUGGGGAGCAAACAGGAUUAGAUACCCCCGUAGUCCCUGUCUCUUAUAA